GAGUGCAGGAAAGGCCUUUUUUACUGACUCAUAAUCAGCGGGUCGCAGGUUCGAGUCCUGCUGGGCCCACCA
rnacentral:tRNA from 1 species